AACAAAAAAAAACAAAAAAAAUUAUGAGACUUCGUCGACGUUGACGCUGCACCCGAUUCGCUCACCCCUACGCUCCCUUUAGAGAGAAAAACCAGAGAGAGACAAACACAGAGAAGAAAGAAAAGAACAGCUUUCCUUUCUCUUAGAACCAUACGCUCCUCUCUUUCACUUUUUCUCUCUCCUUCUCUCUUUGAAUUUGUGUUUAUGAAGUUUUGUAGAGAGAGGGAGAGAUCGUGGUGUGUGAAAUCUUGCCGAUUUUACUGUUUCAUCGGUUUCCUUUUUUUUCUUUUUCCGGUUAUGCCCUUUGCUUUUACUCACAUUAUCUUCUCUGUAUUCUUUUCUGAGCUUUAUUCGACGCGUAAAGUAAUAGUUUUCUCUCCAUUUCUCUUCAAAGCUACGUUUACAGUUCGGCUUCAUUUCGAGCUUUCUCUGCUUAGUUUAAUUUAUUUUCCCCCUUUUUCUCGAGGAAAAAAAAUUGAAGUGAUGCGGAGAAAUUAGCUUUCUUUAGGAAUUGCUCAGUGAGAUUUUUAUAUAUGUAUUUUUUUUAAUUUAAUUAAUAAACAUUCAGUUUUUUUUUUGUUUUUUCCAAAAAAAAAAAGCAACGGCUAAAUGCAUGGAAUUCGGGAUUUAACCGACGAACAUUAUAUUAAAUGCUAUUUCUUGUAAUUAUUAUUAUUUAAUUUUUGGCUUUUUUAUAAGUUGCAGAGCUCGAGAUUUGAGGAAGAAAG
rnacentral:misc_RNA from 1 species